UUCCCCUUCCCACUGAGUGUUUAUUUUAUAGCUUGUUCAUCAGGUAAUCAACGGAAACACUUGAACAACAGAGAGCUGGCCGAAUGUUAAGGAAAAGGAGUGAUUAUCUCUCCAACAGAUGUGACAAAAUGGUUUCAACUUGGAAACAGUAUUGUGUAAAUGAAUCAAGUGAACAGCAGAGGGGGAGAAAAAGAGAAAGCAGAGACAGAGGAAGAAGCAAGCAUCUUCCAACGUGGAUUGUGAGGGGGAAAAGGCACUCUUCUUCAGCUGUCUUAUGUAUUAUAAACUGAAAGUCAAAAUAUACAAUCCAUGUUUGCCAAAAUUACAUUCGACACUGCUUUAGAGAUGCUCACACACCUGAGUCUCAGUAGAAAGCUUUAGAAGCUGUCUGAAAAUCAGAUAGACAGCACCAGUGUGUCUAAACCAUAGGCUUACCAGGAAUGGGUUUUAAAAGAGAUCAUCACCAUCAGGGUCCUUUUUAUAAAUAGUACUGCAAAGGUCACAAAGCUGCAUGAACUUAAAUUACAGGAUAAAGCUGAUGAACUGAUUGCCCAUUUCUAUCUUUACAAUUCCCUCUCCAGUAAAUCAGAAAGCAAGCUCCACUCGAGAGGAGUUGAAUUGGCAGUACGUCUCAAAUGGGGUGCUUUCCCCCUCCAAAGGCUGCCUGAGCAGCAGUUUAGUUGAUAUCAUCCAGCAGCUUUGCACAGGGUGAAUGGAUGCAAAAAUUUAACAGCAAUUGCCUUACUUCCUCUCAAAGCACAGCACUAAGUUAUGAAGAGGCACAUUUUCAACUUAUGAAGUAGAAGCACCUGGACCUCUUAAAAAACAAACUUCAUAAAAGGUUACAAUACCGGGUGCCUCUCAUAAUAAAGGAUUUUAGGGCCAUAGGUGUGUUUGAGAAUGAUCAAUGGGAAAAACCAGAGAGAUGGUUUACACAGAUGUUCUCUAUGUAGAAUUCGAAUAGAAAUUAAAAUACCAGCUAUGCAUUUGGGAACCAGCCUUUAGUUCAAUUCUCUAGUGCUUUUAGAAUUUUUAUUUCAUUUUAUUAGAAAAAGAGAAUCAUUGUCUACAAACUAUUUUCUUUCUAACUAUUCAAAUACAAUGAGCAAAUCACCUGCAAUAUCAAAAUACUGUUUGUAAAUCACAGAUGGGACUCACAAUUUUAGGAAUCUCUGAUAGGACAUAUAUUGAGAAAGAGCAACAGUGGACUUCAAAUUAUAGGCAUUAACUGAAUUUUAAAAAUAGAAAAUAAAAUGCAAAGUUUAAAAGUCAGUAAGUUUUUCUCUGAUUUUCAGUCAUUUAAAUCCAAUCAUCAGGAAUUCAGAAGCACCCAGUAUGUUCAAAGUUGCACAAAUGCGUAUGGAUGAUAGAAAAGUAAUCCCCAUGCAAUACUAUAUGCGUUGUUGUCAGAUAUAUUUAAGUGAUACUUUACAGAUUAAAGCUGGGUAAAACCAAAAUAUGUCCUUUCCAUUAAAUUUUAAAAGUCACAAUAAUUUAUCAAUAGUUGCCAUUUCACAGCAAUUAGAAAACAGGAGUUGAUACAAGUUGAACGAAAAGGUACUUUUCCCUCUUUUAGGAAAUAAACAUAUAUAGAUAUAUAUACACACACACAUACACACAUAACAUUAUCUUUUAAAAUUCAAAGUGGUUAAUUUGCUAUUGUAUUGUAUAAAAAAAAAUUUUCCCCUAUUUUCAAAAUACUGAAAAAAGCGCAGAGGCUGAAAAAGAAAAAUCACACUUGCCAUUUUAAAAAAAUACAUUACCAUCUCAGUGGUUCUGUUUAUUUGAUUAUAAAGUUAGGUAUUAUAAGGACUCUGCACUUGUCAGGCUCCUAGGACUAUAUUAGACCACAUGGGAUUAAAUCUAACCCUUUCUCAGUCUCCAGGAAGGAUACUUCUCACCCACCCUGAAAGAUGAUAGCAUAAAUGCCCCUAUUCUGAACAGCUAAACUAGGAAAGAAAACCUGCUCACCUGGAAGCAAUUCAAGUUAUGAAAGUUUAUGAAUCUGUGGGAGAGACUGCCUGGAUCAGAAAGCUAUUCUUUGGAUAUAAGUUAGGAGCUGUUUUGGAAGUAUAUAAACUCUUUUAGGCCAGUAGGGUACAGAUUCAAAAGUGAUUUCUCUAUAAAUAAUAACCUGCCUCAGGGGUUGGCAAAGUGCAACCCAUGGUCCAUAUUUGGCCUGUCACCUGUUUCAGCAAUAAAGUUUUAUUGGGACACAGCCAUAACUCAUCACUUAUGUGUUGUCUGCUUUUAUACUAAAAUGGCAGAGUUGGGUAGUUGUGAUGGAGACCGAUGGCUUGCAAAGUCUGAAAUUGUACGUACUCUCUGAAUCUUUUGACCCUAGAUCUAUCUAGGUAACUCUAGUUACCCCAAAGAGCUGAUGCACCUUAAGGUUUAGCUGGACUCAGAGAAUAACCUGUAUCCUAG
ensembl:lncRNA